rnacentral:rRNA from 1 species
ACUCCUACGGGAGGCAGCAGUGGGAAUAUUGGACAAUGGGCGAAAGCCUGAUCCAGCCAUGCCGCGUGAGUGACGAAGGCCUUAGGGUUGUAAAACUCUUUUGGCGGGGACGAUAAUGACGGUACCCGCAGAAUAAGCCCGCCGUAUCAUUCGUGCCAGCAGCCGCGGUAAUACGAAGGGCGUAGCGUUGUUCGGAAUCACUGGGCGUAAAGCGCACGUAGGCGGACUGUCAGUUGGGGGUGAAAUCCCGGGCGUCACCUCGGAACUGCCUCCAAUACUGCCAGUCUUGAGUCCGAGAGAGGUGAGUGGAAUUCCUAGUGUAGAGGUGAAAUUCGUAGAUAUUAGGAAGAACACCAGUGGCGAAGGCGGCUCACUGGCUCGGUACUGACGCUGAGGUGCGAAGCGUGGGGAGCAACAGGAUUAGAUACCCUGGUAGGCUCUGC